AAGAGUUUACAAAACUCCCAAACCCAUGUGAACGUUACCUUCUGUUGCCUCGGCAGGGGACGCUGGACGGCUUCCGUCCGGCGAGCUCCCCCCUGCCGGCGGCCCUGAAAACUCUGUUUCGUACAUGAAUUCUGAAUCAAUAACUAAAUAAGUUA
rnacentral:misc_RNA from 1 species